GGAUCCAGGUGGAGUCUGGAGGAUCCAGGAGGGACCUGGAGGAUCCAGGUGGAGUCUGGAGGAUCCAGGAGGGAUCUGGAGGAUCCAGGAGGGAUCUGGCAGGGUCCCAGCAGAUCUGGUGGAUCCAGGAGAGACCUGGUGGAGCCAGGAGGAGUCUGGAGGAUCCAGGAGGGAUCUGGAGGAUCCUGGUGGAGUCUGGGGGGUCCAGGCAGGAUCUGGCGGACCCCAGCAAAGUCUGGAGGAUCCGUGUGAGAUCUGGAGGAUCCAGGAGGGAUCUGGAGGAGCCAGGAGGGAGCUGGAGGAGCCAGGAGGGGGCUGAAGGAUCCGUGUGAAAUCCGGAAGGUCCAGGUGGGAUCUGGUAGAUCCAAGUGGGGCCUGGAGGAUCCAUGAGGGAUCUGGAGCAGCCAGGAGGGAUCUGGAGGAGCCAUGUGCAAUCUGGAAGGUCCAGGUGGGAUCUGGUAGAUCCAAGCAAGGCCUGGAGGAUCCAGGAGGGAUCUGGUGGAGCCAGGAGGGAUCUGGAGGAGCCAGGAGGGAUCUGGAGGAGCCAGGAGGGAUCUGGAGGAGCCAUGUGCAAUCUGGAAGGUCCAAGUGGGAUCUGGUAGAUCCAAGUGGGGCCUGGAGGAUCCAGGAGGGAUCUGGUGGAGCCAGGAGGGUUCUCGUGGAUCCCAGCAGAGUUUGGAGGAGCUGUGUGAGAUCUCAGGGAUCCAGGAGGGGCCUGGUGGAUCCAGGAAGGAUCUGGAGGAUCCAGCUGGGAAUCUGGGCGAUCCCAGCAGAGUCUGGUGGAUCCAGGAAGGAUCUGGAGGAGCCCGGAGGAGCCAGCAGAUCCCGUUGGAUCUCAGUUCCCGCAGCACUGCCCACGGCCCCGGGGGCUCUCCUGGCUCAGGUCCUGUGGAUCCCGGCUGGAUCGAUCCCAGCAGAUCCCAGUGGAUCCCGAGUGGAUUUGGGCUGGGUUGAUCCCAGUAGAUCCCGUUGGAUCUCAAUUCCUGCAGCACUGGCCCCGGCCCCGGGGGCUCUCCUGGCUCAGGUCCGGUGGGUCCCGGCUGUGACUGGGGUGGAUCCCGGCGGAUCCCGGUGGAUCCCGGCUGGAUUUGGGCUGGAUUGAUCCCAGCAGAUCCCAGUGGAUCCCAGCGGAUCCCAGUGGAUCCCUCAGUUCCCGCAGCACUGGCCCCGGCCCCGGGGGCUCUCCUGGCUCAGGUCCAGUGGAUCCCGGCUGGAUUUGGGCUGGAUUGAUCCCAGCGGAUCCCAGCAGAUCCCAAUGGAUCCCAGCAGAUCCCAGUGGAUCCCAGCGGAUCCCAGUGGAUCCCUCAGUUCCCGCAGCACUGGCCCCGGCCCCGGGGGCUCUCCUGGCUCAGGUCCUGUGGGUCCCGGCUGGGUCGAUCCCAGCGGAUCCCAGCAGAUCCCAGUGGAUCCCAGCGGAUCCCUCAGUUCCCGCAGCACUGGCCGCGGCCCCGGGGGCUCUCCUGGCUCAGGUCCGGUGGGUCCCGGCUGUGACUGGGGUGGAUUUGGGCUGGGUCGAUCCCAGUAGAUCCCAGCGGAUCCCAGCGGAUCCCAGUGGAUCCCAGUGGAUCCCAGUUGAUCCCAGCGGAUCCCUCAGUUCCCGCAGCACUGGCCCCGGCCCCGGGGGCUCUCCUGGCUCAGGUCCACGCCCCGGCCCCGGCCCCCGGCCCCGGCCGAGCUCGGCGCCUCCGUCCUGGGCAGCUUCUUGGCUGCAACGGGGGAGGGGCGGUCACUCGGGGUCACCUGGGGUCAC
ensembl:lncRNA